CAAUAGCGUAUAUUAAAGUUGUUGCAGUUAAAAAGCUCGUAGUUGGAUUUCGGAUGGGAUUUGCCGGUCCGUCGUUACGAUGUGCACUGGCCAGUCCUAUCUUGUUGUCGGGGACUAGCUCCUUGGAUUCACUUCCUGGGACUAGGAGCUGACGAGGUUACUUUGAGUAAAUUAGAGUGUUCAAAGCAAGCCUACGCUCUGAAUACAUUAGCAUGGAAUAACACGAUAGGACUCUGGCUUAUCUUGUUGGUCUGUGAGACCAGAGUAAUGAUUAAGAGGGACAGUCGGGGACAUUCGUAUUUCAUUGUCAGAGGUGAAAUUCUUGGAUUUAUGAAAGACGAACUUCUGCGAAAGCAUUUGGCAAGGAUGUUUUCAUUAA
rnacentral:rRNA from 1 species